UGUCACAGCCAUAUAACCCUGCAACCGAAGAGCGGUGACUCACUGAAGCGAAGCGUGGCUGAGUCUGGUCAGUACCUGGAUGGGAAAUCAUAGGGGAAAACUAGGUUGCUGUUGGAA
ensembl:rRNA 5S_rRNA 5S ribosomal RNA